CCACCCUGCUGCGCGGUCCCUGGUAACUACAUGCAGACUAGUGUGUGAACACGAUAGUAAGAACCUUUUUCAGUCCCAACCACAAAAGGAUCGCCAUGUAUGCACCAUUUAUUUGUACCCUGUAUUGUUGUUUAUCCCUCGGAACCCCUCCCUCCAUUCAAUGUAUUGUUCUGUUGAAUACUGAGUUAACUCCUAAACAUGUCGGAAGUGCGUAUUUAGGUACAAGUCGCGUUUUUUAAACAAGCAAAAAGAAAGACAGAAUGCUUAAUCGCUAACUACAUAAACGCUUUUACUAUAGAAACUCUCCCUGUGAAGAAACGUCCGCGCCCGAACACGAGGUUUUUUUGGCCGAUAUAUACUAGUCUUUAUAGUCUUUAUAUGGAAAGAUUUAUGCAAAUCAAUCUUUAUUAAGAAAUUGUUUCAGUUUUUGAAAGUAUCCAUCGGCAUCAUUACCACUCUUACGAGCAACGCAUCAGCAUCUUUUUGUUGUGAAUAACCAAGUAACGUUACAUAAAAAAUUUAGCAAUUUAAAACGAUACUGGAUCAUCUUGAAUAAUCUGAGUCAUCGGCAAUUUUGUGCAGUCAAUUAAGAGAUGAAUGCAUUACUCUUCCUCUGCAAAUUAAACGGACUAUUUAUGGUUGUCCAAGUAUUGAACAUUGUUUAUGGCGAAGAUUCGCUGUUGUUUAGGGAAUGAUUUUGGUUGAAUAUAAUUGAAAGACUAGCACAGACUCGGCUAAUGUGUACACAGAGAAGUUGUUUUUGGAAGAAAUAUUUUCCUAUGUAAAGUGCCUGUCGAAACAAGGAGUCUCGCGAGGGUCGAGGGUAAAGUCGAGGAUAUGUUUUAAUGCAUUUUUAAUGCAAACGACUGGUUUCAUACAAUAAUCUGGCAUCGGUACUAUUAAUACAAUCAUAUCAUGUAACUUAGAUCGCCUACUGAAUGAGUUAGCAUCAUUAUCUACAGAUUAAACUAUAUAAGCAAGUAGAACUCUAAGCGAGUAAAUUUAAGCAAGUUAAAUAUCCCUUCGACUCUUCUCCCUAUUUAAAUGAUGCAUUAUCUGAUCAUCUUUCUUUGUCAUACGAUAAACUUGUGUGACCACCCCCCAUUUUACCCAUAUUAGGAAUAACGAGACGUCAAGUCAUUCAGUUAAGGCACACAACAGCCCGACUUACAAAGACAGCAAUAUUAAAUACAUUCACAACUGAAAGUAAUAACACGAAUUUUUUUUGUACGAAACCAAGAAUAAAGAUACGUGUCUAAAGAUAUAAAGGAUAUAAAAGCAAGCCAGCGAGAGAUUCAGCUUAAAACCGAGACGCUUCUGGUGUAUCAUCGAUCAGCUGGCCUUUGCUGCAUAUGAAAGCAACGUAAAGAGAACGUUUAAGUUAACGUACAAGUAUAGAUAAGGGAAAAUGAAGUUCUUAGCCGUUUCAACCUUGAGUGUAUUUAUUGUUCUUUCUAUUGCUUGGCCAAGCGUACAAGGAAUAGAUUUUCAAGGUGUAAUAAAUGACAUAAAGAAAGGAGUCAACGUGGCAAAUAAUUUCCUUGGCGAGAACGGAGAGUUUCCUCGUAAGCCAGGCUGCAACGUCAGGUGGAACAUCCAAGGAAGCAUCCGUGGAGUGGAAUGGGUGUGGAUUUGCACUUGUAUCGACGCCUGCACAGGCAUUGUCGAAGUUCAAACGAAAAGUAGUCGGGAAGGUGCCAUGGAGCAUUGUUAUACUCGACUGUUCUCGAAGCUUGAAAGUAAAAAUGUCCUCUGAUGCAUCAAAUUUCAACCGAUAAUGAUGUGGAGCAAGGAUUAUGAUCGUAUUAUUUGUUGAUUAAUAUUGUGUAAAUGUUGUCAUUGUUAAAUGUGAUUUUCAGACUCUAGACACGAUGGUCGCCAGUUACAUGAAGUUUACAUAAACACAUUUUAUAGCAUGUUUCAAGAUUAUUAGGGUAUGGCUUUACAUGGACAAUUUCAUCAUAUUUAUACCAAUCUUUCUAUGGCUCGUUCAUGUGCUGCAUAAUCUAGGCGAGGAUUAAUUUUAAGCUGAGCCCAACUUAGGAGCUGUUUACAUGAGCCCGGUUACCCGAGAUUCAACGAAGCGUGAGAGGACUUUGAGGUAUUGAAAUAAGC